rnacentral:rRNA from 1 species
UACGUAGGGGGCAAGCGUUGUCCGGAAUUAUUGGGCGUAAAGAGCUCGUAGGCGGUCUGUCGCGUCGGCUGUGAAAACUCGGGGCUCAACCCCGAGCCUGCAGUCGAUACGGGCAGACUAGAGUGCGGUAGGGGGAGACUGGAAUCCUGGUGUAGCGGUGAAAUGCGCAGGAUAUCAGGAGGAACACCGGUGGCGAAGGCGGGUCUCUGGGCCGAUACUGACGCUGAGGAGCGAAAGCGUGGGGAGCGA